rnacentral:rRNA from 1 species
GACGAACGCUGGCGGCGUGCUUAACACAUGCAAGUCGAACGGAAAGGCCCUGCUUUUGUGGGGUGCUCGAGUGGCGAACGGGUGAGUAACACGUGAGUAACCUGCCCUUGACUUUGGGAUAACUUCAGGAAACUGGGGCUAAUACCGGAUAGGAGCUCCUGCUGCAUGGUGGGGGUUGGAAAGUUUCGGCGGUUGGGGAUGGACUCGCGGCUUAUCAGCUUGUUGGUGGGGUAGUGGCUUACCAAGGCUUUGACGGGUAGCCGGCCUGAGAGGGUGACCGGCCACAUUGGGACUGAGAGACGGCCCAGACGCCUACGGGAGGCAGCAGUGGGGAAUAUUGCACAAUGGGCGGAAGCCUGAUGCAGCAACGCCGCGUGCGGGAUGACGGCCUUCGGGUUGUAAACCGCUUUCGCCUGUGACGAAGCGUGAGUGACGGUAAUGGGUAAAGAAGCACCGGCUAACUACGU